UACGUAGGGCGCAAGCGUUGUCCGGAAUUAUUGGGCGUAAAGAGCUCGUAGGCGGCCAGUUGCGUCUGCUGUGAAAUCCCGGGGCUCAACCCCGGGCGUGCAGUGGAUACGGGCUGGCUAGAGGCAGGCCGGGGAGAACGGAAUUCCCGGUGUAGCGGUGAAAUGCGCAGAUAUCGGGAGGAACACCGGUGGCGAAGGCGGUUCUCUGGGCCUGUACUGACGCUGAGGAGCGAAAGCGUGGGGAGCGAACAGG
rnacentral:rRNA from 1 species